CAGGAAGCGGCUCAGGCCUUCUAGCUGCGCUGCCCGGAAUGCGGCUGGCCGUGUCCGCCCCGAGCUGAAGGCUUCCCGCAGCCGCCGCACCGCGUCCUGGAAGGGGUCCAUCCUGCAGACAGGGAAACAUCUUAUACAAAUGUAUAAGAAACUACAAGAUCAGCUUAUGAUGGUCACCGACAGAGUUGGAUAAGGAAGUGUGCAGAGGAUUUGUCUGCACACUGGACACCAAAGGUUUGAGCCCAAAGUCUGGAGCUACUGCUGUGUCCCGUGCAAGUCCGUUUCAGGAGGCCGAUGGGUCUGCGAUGGAAGGCUAAAGAGUCCACAGUGCACAGCAAAGAGCCUGCGCCGGGAACCUGGAAAUGAUGUCCAUGCUGAAGGCGAACACUGACGCUCUUCCAACGAACAGAAGUGGGAAUGUCGAGCCUCAUUUCUGCUUUAUAUGAGUCUCCCUAGGGUGGGUCUUUUACCCUCCAGGGUGUCUUCUGGGGUGUAGAAUUACUGAGACAAUUUAGUUGAAUUUGUAGACUUUUCAUCACACAGAGGGAUGUGAUUAGUCCCGCUCCAGUGCCCACCCCAGGUGCUAUGCCCAGACCUACUAGGAGAGAAACACGUUCAUGGCUCACUUGGUUUUUGUCUUGGUAACUAAGGAACCAAAAAGCAUUGGUUAUUAGGGGCUACAUCAGUCUCUGGGGCCAGAGAAAUGGGGUACAUGUUCCAGGCCAGUUGGCUGGAAGAUUCAAGUAAGUGCUACCACAGAGGAAGCGAAGUUCCUGGGUCUUAGGACAGAAAUUAUUUUUAAUAAUAAACUUACGGGUGAGUGGGUUGUUGUUCCUUUCUGAUACAGAUAAGUCCCUGCCUUAUGAGACCGUAUACCUGCCAGGCAUAUCUGCCGAAAGGGCCCAUAAGAAGCACUGGCAUCCACUAAUACUUGUUGAGUUUUUCUAACUACACUGCAGCAAACAAUUGCUCACCAUAGGCUGAGAGCAGUCUUUCCAUGAGAAUAUAGAUCUUCCUUGGCAAUGUUCUGACAAGCUGCUUUCCAACUCUUGUGUGUCUGGAGAUGGCUUUUAUGAGAAUCACAUUAGGUUUUGUUUUGUCUUUUUGAGACAGAGUCUCGCUAUGCAGUUCAGGCUGGCCUUGGGCUCAUUUUGUAGGCCAGGCUGGUCUCAAACUUGCAACAAUCCUCCUGCUUCAGCCUCCCGAGGGCUGGGAUUACAGGAGUGCACCACCAUGUCUCGAACCACACUAGGUUUUUAAAAAACAAAGCUUGGUUUGCCUGGACACUGGCAUGGUCCAGUGAAGGCUUUACCUUUAGGAUUUGUUUGCAAAGGGAGUCUUGUAAUGUGCCUAAAUCUUGACUCUGGCCCUGUCUUAAGUCCUCUUUAUACAGAGGGGCAUUCAGAACUUAGGCAACAUGUGAAUGAAUAUUGGGCCACAGAUGGGUGUCUGUGGAAGAAAGGUGAGUAGGUUCGCUUUGAUAGGAUCUGGGGAGAAUAGCAGCCCUUUCCAUUGAGGUUACCUUGGUGAUUUCAUUGACCCCAAAAUCAUAUAGGCUGUCUAAAUACAUUAACUAAAAGGGGGGAAAAAUAAAACAAGAUAAAAACAAAAACAAAAGGGAUGCUCGGAACAGUAGAUCAUCUUUCCAGUAACUCAAGGUUGAGUCAGGAUGGGCACAGCAGAAUACUGGCUGGAAGGUAGGGGGAGACACAGGUAGCGGUCCUUUGUCUCGCUGUGAUUAGUAGAGCUCAAUAAAAGAUGGGUCAGAUUCAA